CCCUUAGAUGUUCUGGGCCGCACGCGCGCUACACUGACAGAGCCAGCGAGUUCUUUUCCUUGGCCGGAAGGUCUGGGUAAUCUUGUGAAACUCUGUCGUGCUGGGGAUAGAGCAUUGCAAUUAUUGCUCUUCAACGAGGAAUUCCUAGUAAGCGUGAGUCAUCAGCUCGCGUUGAUUACGUCCCUGCCCUUUGUACACACCGCCCGUCGCUACUACCGAUUGAAUGGCUUAGUGAGGUCUUGGGAUUGGCUUCGGGGAGCCGGCAACGGCACCCUGUCGCUGAGAACUUGAUCAAACUUGGUCAUUUAGAGGAAGUAAAANUCGUANCA
rnacentral:rRNA from 1 species